rnacentral:rRNA from 1 species
UACGAAGGGGGCUAGCGUUGCUCGGAAUCACUGGGCGUAAAGGGUGCGUAGGCGGGUCUUUUAAGUCAGGGGUGAAAUCCUGGAGCUCAACUCCAGAACUGCCUUUGAUACUGAAAGUCUUGAGUAUGGGAGAGGUGAGUGGAACUGCGAGUGUAGAGGUGAAAAUUCGUAGAUAUUCGCAAGAACACCAGUGGCGAAAGGCGGCUCACUGGCCCAUACUGACGCUGAGGCACGAAAGCGUGGGGGAGCCAAACAGGGAAUUAAGAAAACC